rnacentral:lncRNA from 1 species
GCACGAAGGCAGAAGGACAAAGACGGGAUAUAGUUUCAUGUCUCGCUGUUUUUUUCUGGAUCAGGGCAAGAAUUAUGGUCAGUAUUCAUAAACAACGACACAUGGGAAGACACGUUGAGGAACUACCAGUGACGUCCAACACAGUAUGCAUGCACAAGAUAAUGUGCAGACGGCAAAAAUUGUCAAGUAUGUCUUCGUACUUCGUUGUGUUGCUCAAACUCUCUAUU